rnacentral:sRNA from 1 species
UCAACUCGAGGGAAGGUGGGGAUGACGUCAAGUCAUCAUGCCCCCUAUGUCCAGGGCUUCACGCAUGCUACAAUGGCCGGUACAAAGGGCUGCGAUCCCGUGAGGGGGAGCGAAUCCCAAAAAGCCGGUCUCAGUUCGGAUUGGGGUCUGCAACUCGACCCCAUGAAGUCGGAGUCGCUAGUAAUCGCAGAUCAGCAACGCUGCGGUGAAUACGUUCCCGGGCCUUGUACACACCGCCCGUCACGUCACGAAAGUCGGCAACACCCGAAGCCGGUGGCCUAACCCCUUGUGGGAGGGAGCCGUCGAAGGUGGGGCUGGCGAUUGGGACGAAGUCGUAACAAGGUAGCCGUACCGGAAGGUGCGGCUGGAUCACCUCCUUUCUAAGGAGCACACGCCCCGAUACCAGACGACUGUUCUGGUACGCAUGGUGGUGUUCACUAGUGGAAUCGUCGAUGAUGCUUCGUCCUGGUGGGCGGGGUCUUCUCAGUACUGUCCGCACGUGUCCUUUCGAGGUCGUGUGGGCGUGGAACCUGGAGAUCUCUGCUUGUUGGGGUGGGGUUGGCACACUGUUGAGCUUUGAGGGAUCAGGUGACUGGUUGCUCGUUGCCUCCUGGUAUCCCAGGGCUGCCGGAUGGUGGUGUUGGGGGCUUGGUGGGCUGGUUGUUUGUGAAUUGGAUAGUGGACGCGAGCAUCUGACGCGACAGACGUAUCUGCCUCUUGUGUGGGGUGGGUGCGGGUGUCGUGUCUUUCUAGAUGUAAUUAAUUCUAGUCUUUGUAGUUUUUGUUGAGUGUUUGUGAGACAAGCUAUGAAGGGCACAUGGUGGAUGCCUUGGCAUCAAGAGCCGAUGAAGGACGUAGGAGCCUGCGAUAAGCCCUGGGGAGU